rnacentral:lncRNA from 1 species
GCCUCUCUCAAAUGACUUCUCCUGUUGUUUGUGUUUCUCCAGUGUGGGUGCUGGAGAGCAUAACUGAUGAGGAGGACUCUCCAGCUAGGGAACUGCUUUCCAGCUCCUGGACCACCUCAUAUCACCAGCACCCUCUACCCAAGGUCCUGGAGCCAACACUGGAGUAAAAGAGCACAAGAGAACUCCUUAGAGGUGGAAGGAUACCCUCUGAGGUCAAAUCAUUGGGCUUGUGGCCAUGAGACCACAGACUUUGCCUGGCUUCCAGUGACUGUCCGAGAUGACCUGUGGAGUGCACCGCCUGUACUUGGACAUCACUGUCUUUUCGGAUCCAUACCCGUCAUCCUUGGAAUUUCCCCUGCAUCCAAACCUGUUCCUGAUACAGGUAUAACCCUAAGGAAUAUCUUGGAUGUCUUCACGGGGCUUAUGACUUAUUCUGAGGUUUACAAAAUAGAGGCCCCCAGCUGAGCAAAGAGAGGGCUGCAGCGCCGAGGGAACAGCUGCCGGACUCACCGGAGAGGCCUCCUGGAGCACGCCGGGACCCCCUCCACCCCCUGGCUUUGGCUGCAUCAAUGGCUAGUUUGCCUGAACUAUAUCUGAGCCACUGAGAGUAUUUAUUAAGCAGAGAAUAAUUUUGAGUUUCACUUUUAUAACUUUUGUUUCAAAAGUUGUUUUGGAUAAUUUAAUGAAAUGACUGUAAACCAGAAUUCCCCUUUUCAUUAUUUCUUUGUGUCAAUAUAAAAAGAGUUGAUGAUUUUAAAAGCCAGUGAGAUGUCCCUGUCUGUGGAUGUCAGCGGGAGGGUGGGGUCUGACGCCUUUCUCUGGUGGCUGUCCAGGAAGAUUGCCCCAGCUUGCACUCCCUUUUGGCGGGUUCCAGAGCCUUCCAUUUGAAAGGAGCAUCUCUCACCACUCUGCCCCACCCAGCACCAGCUCUUCUGGAACCCACUGACUUCCUAAACACUUUCUUCCUCCUUCACCUCAUUGAAUUCAAGACUUUAGAAAACAGCCAAAAACUCUAGAGGUGGGGGUGGGUUCGAUCUGGAAAUCCCUGCUGUAAUCUUUUUAAGGGAAUCCACUGGAAAUUAUUAAUUUAUGUUUUAAAUAAAACCAUUCCUUACUUAACAGAAUAUUAAGCCACUCAUUUUUUUAACAGAACUUUCGAGAUAUAAUUAAAAUGCCAUAAAUUUCACCCCCACACAGUGUACAAUUCCAAGGUUUCCAAUAUAGUCACAGAAGUCUCUGCAACAAUUACCACAAUUUUAGACAUGAAGACCAUUUGUUGGCAGCCCUACCUGCCUCUAUGUGUAUGUAUAUAAUUUUAAUAUUGGAUUGGAUACUAUAGUAAUAUUGUACUGUUACCUAUUUGUGUUUUUAUAUUGCUGUUUUAUUUUAUUCAGAUGAAUAAUAAUUAUCUCCAUAUAGUCAUACAUUUAUAUAGGGUUAAACACACCUUUUUACAAUUCAAUAAAUUAAAUUGGUCAGGUAUGGUGGCUCACGCCUGUAAUCCCAGCACUUUGGGAGGCCAAGGCGGGUGGAUCACCUGAGGUUGGGAGUUUGAGACCAGCGUGAUCAACAUGGAGAAACCCUGUCUGUACUAAAAAUACAAAAAAUUAGCCAGGCAUGGUGGCACAUGCCUGUAAUCCCAGCUACUUGGGAGGCUGAGGCAGGAGAAUCACUCGAACCAAGGAGGCGGACAUUGCGGUGAGCCAGGAUCGCACCAUUGCACUCCAGCCUGGGCAACAAGAGCAAAACUCCAUCUCAAGAAGAAAAAAAAAAAAAAAGUAAAUUGUUUUUAAUUACAUAAGAAACACGUGUUAUUGUUAUAGAAAUUCACAUAGUGCUUCGGUCUAUAGAAUAAAUGUAUCCCCACCACCUCCCAGCCCACCCACUCGUCUGCAUUCACCUACACACAGUUAAACAUGCACAUAUGUUUCCGUGACACGAUCUUGCUUUGCAUAUUGUUCACUGACUGGCUUUUCCAUAUAAGAUUUAAUUUGGUGAUUAUUGCUUAUCAGUACCUAUAGGUCUCUCUCAUUAUUAUUUAUAAUUACAUCAUUAUUCCAUAGGGUAUUUUACCACAAUUUGGUCACUUUUUCACUGAGGAAUUUUUAUGUCAGUUUCAGUUAUUUGUUAUUGUUACCAAUGCUGUACUGGGCAUCCCUGUAUAUCCACCUUUUUGUUGCAUUAGUUAAGUGGUUUUUUCCUUUUAUGAUUGAUUUCUAAAAAUAAAAUACUGCAGCAAA